GUUGUUAAGCAUAAAGUUACACAAUAGGCUUUCUGUGCUCUGCCCACCAUGUGUAUUGAUACUAAGUUUAUAGCAAUGUGAGCCGUCAGACUUGCAUCUGAGCCACUUGGGGGUGUGUGUAGAUCAUGUAAUCUGAUGUGAAGAACCGUUUACGUAACACCAGUUAAUGAUGUUGCUAUUUCCAUCUUUAGAUGAUACAAUCUUCUGUUGAUCCUAACAACUACCACUGUGGUUUAUUAAUGCCUCACCUUGCAGCACAGAUGUCGCAGCUACAACUUUCAGGAAGUUCAUAUGUUACAGGGGCUACCUCACAAGCUGCUCUCUAUCCUCAACAUACACAGCUAGUCCAGCAGCUUCACUUACCAGAGGAUCUUAGUAUGCCAGUUAGCAUACAGGCAGGUUUGACUGAGGACCAACAGAACUAUUCAUGGUGACAGUCCUCCUAACAUUUGAACUCACCUGAAAAGGAGCAAGAUGGAUUAACUAUGAAAAUGAAACUGGUACGCCAAACUACUACAAACAUGACAUCACUUGUGUUAAAUGAGAAGUUUUAAAGAGGUAAAGGGUUUCGUACACGAGACGUCUAUAUUUUACUACUUAUUGCAGAUGGUAUUUUUUUAAAAUUGACAGUCCGUUUAUUUAGAUUUUUUACUCUAAUAAAUGAUGUGCUGGGUCAUUAGUUACUAACUUAAUGAUGUAGGAUGUGUAGAAAUAAUUCAAACACGAUAUUGGUCCUUUCACUGUUUAGUAAGAUGUUAAAUUAUUCCCAAUAUAUUGUUUAUGUGUUCUUCAACAAUUAUUGUCAAGAAGCAAAUUGAACCCCUGAUCCAUUUUUCAAGCUAUUUGUUGUAACUUCUAGGGAAGGAGCAACGGCUUCUGUAUAUAUUAUAAAAUAAAACAGUUGGGGCUAAAA